GCCCCUGGAACUCUGGCCCAAGGCUCUCUGACUGACUCCUUCCCAGAUCUUCUCGGUUUAGCGGCUGAAGACUGACGCUGCCUGAUCGCCUCAGAAGCCCCGUAGACCAUCACGGACGCCGAGCUUUAAGUAACUCUCACAGUAGAAGACAGGAAUGUCAGGCCUCUGAGCCCAAGCUAAGCCAUCGUAUCCCCUGUGACCUGCACGUACACAUCCAGAUGGCCGGUUCCUGCCUUAACUGAUGACAUGCCACCAAAAAAGAAGUGAAAAUGGCCUGUUCCUGCCUUAACUGAUGACAUUGUCUUAUGAAAUUCCUUCUCCUGGCUCAUCCUGGCUCAAAAGCUCCCCUACUGAGCACCUUGUGACCCCCCCACUCCUGCCUGCCAGAGAACAACCCCCCUUUAUCCUUUACCUACCCAAAUUCUAUAAAACGGCCCCAACCCAUCUCCCUUCGAUGACUCUCUUUUGGAACUCAGCCUGCCUGCACCCAGGUGAAAUAAACAGCCUUGUUGCUCACACAAAGCCUGUUUGGUGGUCUCUUCACAGGG
rnacentral:lncRNA from 1 species